rfam:Felis catus isolate Cinnamon breed Abyssinian chromosome A2, whole genome shotgun sequence.
ACCUGGCUGGCUCAGUUGGUAGAGCAUGAGAUUCUUGAACUCAGGGUCCUGGGUUCAAGCCCCACGUUGGGCA